rnacentral:rRNA from 1 species
GAUGAACGCUAGCGACAGGCUUAACACAUGCAAGUCGAACGGAACUGUUUGGAUGAAGUUUUCGGAUGGAUUUUAAACAGUUUAGUGGCGGACGGGUGAGUAACGCGUGGGUAACCUGCCUCACACUGGGGGAGUAACAGUUAGAAAUAGCUGCUAAUACCGCAUAAGCGCACAGCUCCGCAUGGAGCAGUGUGAAAACUACCGGUGGUAUGAGAUGGAUCCGCGUCUGAUUAGCUAGUUGGUGGGGUAACGGCCUACCAAGGCGACGAUCAGUAGCCGACCUGAGAGGGUGACCGGCCACAUUGGGACUGAGACACGGCCCAG